rnacentral:rRNA from 1 species
GCAUGUCUAGUAUAAGCAUUAUACAGCGAAACUGCGAAUGGCUCAUUAUAUAAGUUAUCGUUUAUUUGAUAGUACCUUACUACUUGGAUAACCGUGGUAAUUCUAGAGCUAAUACAUGCUAAAAAUCCCGACUCCGGAAGGGAUGUAUUUAUUAGAUUAAAAACCAAUGCCCUCUGGGCUCCUUGGUGAUUCAUAAUAACUUUUCGAAUCGCAUGGCCUUGCGCCGGCGAUGGUUCAUUCAAAUUUCUUCCCUAUCAACUUUCGAUGUUUGGGUAUUGGCCAAACAUGGUCGCAACGGGUAACGGAGGGUUAGGGCUCGACCCCGGAGAAGGAGCCUGAGAAACGGCUACUACAUCCAAGGAAGGCAGCAGGCGCGCAAAUUACCCAAUCCCGAUUCGGGGAGGUAGUGACAAUAAAUACUGAUACAGGGCUCUUUUGGGUCUUGUAAUUGGAAUGAGUACAAUUUAAAUCCCUUAACGAGGAACAAUUGGAGGGCAAGUCUGGUGCCAGCAGCCGCGGUAAUUCCAGCUCCAAUAGCGUAUAUUAAAGUUGUUGUGGUUAAAAAGCUCGUAGUUGAACCUUGGGCCUGGCUGGCCGGUCCGCCUCACCGCGUGCACUGGUCCGGCCGGGCCUUUCCCUCUGUGGAACCCCAUGCCCUUCACUGGGUGUGGCGGGGAAACAGGACUUUUACUUUGAAAAAAUUAGAGUGCUCCAGGCAGGCCUAUGCUCGAAUACAUUAGCAUGGAAUAAUGAAAUAGGACGUGUGGUUCUAUUUUGUUGGUUUCUAGGACCGCCGUAAUGAUUAAUAGGGACAGUCGGGGGCAUCAGUAUUCAAUUGUCAGAGGUGAAAUUCUUGGAUUUAUUGAAGACUAACUACUGCGAAAGCAUUUGCCAAGGAUGUUUUCAUUAAUCAGGAACGAAAGUUAGGGGAUCGAAGACGAUCAGAUACCGUCGUAGUCUUAACCAUAAACUAUGCCGACUAGGGAUCGGACGAUGUUAUUUUUUGACGCGUUCGGCACCUUAC